rnacentral:rRNA from 1 species
AGAUUGAACGCUGGCGGCAGGCCUAACACAUGCAAGUCGAGCGGUAGAGAGGUGCUUGCACCUCUUGAGAGCGGCGGACGGGUGAGUAAAGCCUAGGAAUCUGCCUGGUAGUGGGGGAUAACGCUCGGAAACGGACGCUAAUACCGCAUACGUCCUACGGGAGAAAGCAGGGGACCUUCGGGCCUUGCGCUAUCAGAUGAGCCUAGGUCGGAUUAGCUAGUUGGUGAGGUAAUGGCUCACCAAGGCGACGAUCCGUAACUGGUCUGAGAGGAUGAUCAGUCACACUGGAACUGAGACACGGUCCAGACUCCGUACGGGAGGCAGCAGGUGGGAAUAGUUGGACAAGUGGGACAAAGCCUGAUCCGAGCCAUCGCCGCGUGUGUGAAGAGGUCUGGAUUAGAAAGCUACGUUUAAGGUGGAAGAAGG